rnacentral:ncRNA from 1 species
AUUUGGUGGGGAUCUUACGGGGAUUUUGUCGGAGGUUUGCGGAGGCUGUCGGAGUGUCAGUUAUCGAUAUGUGCAAUGAUGGAGAAGUUACGUAUAUUCUUCAUAUAUUAAAAUAUUUAUGCCUUACGAAUACUUUGAGGCCGCGGUACGGAGCCUGACGUUGUAUACACGUCAUCCUUCGAGUUGCCUCGGCGUUGGCUGCACUCACUCACCCCUAUCACGUACUGGUGUACGCUCCCGGGGAUUCAUUCGCUUGCCGCCUUGAUGCAACUCGAAUGAUUUUGUGUAUAGUCGUUCGAAAACGCCGCAUUCUACACUACAACCGCGUAACCAGGAAAUGCUCUUCCCGCAAGCAUAGCGCUUCCUGCGAGGAGCGUUCCAAAAAUAAUAAAGCCAGCGUAAUCACUGGCUCAAAUCGGCGGAAGAUGUCGUGCGAAUCAGGUCGGGCGGAAGCCCCACGCUGAUGAUGAUGGGCUGCCAGGUUUCCCUCGCGGCAAGCCGCGGCGAGAGGCCUUUGGCAAUCAGGAACCCGCCAACACCGCCGAGCACCGCGCCGCUGAGCGCCGCAAUAUCGGUGCCGAACAGGACCUGGAACAGUGCCGCGACCACGAACAGCCCCAGCAGCGGAGACAUAUAAACCAGCAUGGCAGAGCCAAGCAGGCUACCUUCGGUAAUGCCCAACUCCACUUUUUGCCCUAUCACCAGCGGUUCAGCACUAGGAACAGAAAUGGUGUGGGUGGUCUGCGGCCCUAGCUUAUUCAGCACUCGGCUGCCGCAGCCUGCACGUGAUGCGCAGCUAUUGCAGGAGGCUUUUACAUCGCAGCUCACCUGCGCAAUUCCGUUAUCCCAUGCAAUAACGGUAGCCCACUCUUUAAUCAUUGUGCGCCCUUGAAUUGAAUACCGUCAGCAACGCGU